rnacentral:lncRNA from 1 species
GGUGGAAAAUUAUUAUUGUUGUUGUAAGAAUUGUUACCUUGAUAAUUACCUGAGUAGUUAGGCCUCUGUUGAUUCCAACCUUGAUUUUGUUGAGGACGGUUGUAGUUGUUGUUGUUGUUGAUGAUGUAGUUCACAUCCUCAAGCAUCUCAGGGCAGUGGUUGCCUGAGUGUCCAGUGUCUCCACACUCCUCACAAGUCAUGU